UCUGAUUGGAAAUCCACCUGAGUUUUUACCCUCGUGCGACCUCCAGCUGCCCCCACUCAGCACCUAUGGUGCGGGGAAGGCGACCGGUGCAAGCCACUGCCUAUAUGAUUUGCAACUGGGCAGGUGAACUCUUCCCUGCAGCUGGAUGAAUAAUGAAUGGAGCCGGGAAUGGAAACAGAGAGAGAGCCCAACAGUGGAUGAAGUCGUCCCUCUCCCACCACGCCACUCCCUUCCCCCUCUGCAAGUGCUAACCCAGCCACUGUCCCCGCGGCUCUGAGCAGGCUCUUGAAGAAGUGGGUUGGAGCCCCCCCAACCCCCCAAAGAAACCCCAGGGAUAAGAGAAGCUCACACACUGUCGUUGACCACUUCUUCUUCCUUGAGAAGCAGGCAGCCUCGUGCUCUCGGUGCCGAUUAAGAUUUAUUUCAUAGCAACUGAAACCUCACCAUCCAGAGCACUCUAACCUACUACUUAUAAAAUCUUAAGUGGUCUUUAAGAGGGGAGACUUAUUGGAGCGAGGAAAGCAAAACAGAACAGCGGAGCUUAGGUGAGGAUUGAGAGCAACUGCUCGCUUCUCACUUAGCUUCCGAGUAGCUGCUUUUCCUUGAGGAGAAGGGUAGAAGUGGAAGGAAGAUUCAUCCAGGUUCAGAAAUGUCACCUCAAGGGGCCACCCACCCCCCAAAAAAGCAAAGAG
rnacentral:lncRNA from 1 species